rnacentral:lncRNA from 1 species
CAGUAUGGUCGGCUAGAAGGGGAGGUUCAAUAGGCGACUAGCAAUUUUUAACUUCGCUUGCAAAAUUUAGGCUCAACAAUAAAAUAGGUUGUCUAGAUAUGCAACUAGUUGGACAAAUUAUAUAUGACAAGCACAAUAAGUAACAAGAAGCUAGAAGUAAACAAGAAAUAAUAAGCUUGCACAAAGUAAAAGAAAGAAAUAACCACAAGAGCAAGCUAGAAGUAAACAAGAGAUAAUGAGCUUGCACAAAUAAAGGAAAGAAAGACUAUCAUGAAU